rnacentral:rRNA from 1 species
UACGGAGGGGGCUAGCGUUGUUCGGAAUUACUGGGCGUAAAGGGCUUGUAGGUGGCCAACUAAGUCACACGUGAAAUCCCCAGGCUUAACCUGGGAACUGCGUGUGAUACUGGAUGGCUUGAAUCCGGGAGAGGGAUGCGGAAUUCCAGGUGUAGCGGUGAAAUGCGUAGAUAUCUGGAGGAACACCGGUGGCGAAGGCGGCAUCCUGGACCGGUAUUGACACUGAAAAGCGAAAGCCAGGGGAGCAAAGCGGGAU